GAUUGGCUUAACGCGUGUAGUCUGCUGUCUACCUUUACUCGCUAGAUAGACCGUCCUCGCUAGAUUUUACUUCUUGACCUCUAUAUAAUCUUAUUUGUUUCAUUCUGAUCUACAUUUUUUCUGUCCAGGGUCACAAGUGUGAAGGACAUUUUGCCAGAGUGUCCACAAGCUGGUGGGGGCGGCGGUAGUGGUCCGUUGACGUCACAAAUAUGGGAAAGGGGACAUUUCUCGAAGGAUUGUCCACAAGAGGGUCGCGGCGGUGGUGGAAGUCGUACCUGCCAUGAGAUAAACAAAAAAGAAAGAAACAUCAUUUUUAGUGCUCAUUUUUAACGAAGAAGAGGGCAAUGUAGCAAGGGAUUUUCCUCAAGGAGGAAGCAUUGGUGACAGCAACUGUUACGAUUGUAAUGAAGCUGACCACACCAUGAAAGGCUGCCCAAAUCUCUUCAGUGAAUUGACGGAAGAUGGAAAGCCACAUGAGCAAUAGAUUCCAGAAGCUGUGACAUGCAAUGAAAAGGAACUGUUUAAGGGCAUCGUCUAUGUGGGAACGCUUUAACAAUUUUGAUAAAAUCGUCCUCCAUGCUACAGGAAAAGAUGUACUUCAAUACAUAACAUCAUUUGAAGAGACCGGCCUGCACCAACUACUACUUCAAAACAUUAAGAAUUCUGGCUACAUAAAACCAACACCUAUCCAGAAAGCUUCAGUUGUAGUUAUUCUUGCCAGGUUUAAUUGCUUGUGCGGUCACGGGCUCCGGAAAACGGCGGCGUACUUGGUACUGGUUAUGAACAUAUUGUUAGAACAAGGUGUUGCUGGUGCGUCUCAUGCCAUGGGGCAAAAGCCAGAAGUUGUAAUUGUCGCACCCACUCGUGAAUUGGCCAUUCAAAUUGACCGCGAGGCGUGUAAAUUCUCCUACAGUUCGGUUUUAAAGUCUGUGAUUAUAUAUGGAGGAACUCUCACGAGCCAUCAGCGGUCAAAUAUUCAAGCUGGGUGCAAUAUUUUUGUCGCGACCGCGGGGCGAUUCAAGGAUUUUUUCGACCAUGAAGUAUUUGACUUCUCGGGAGUCAGGUUUUAAAUUUUGGAUGAAGCUGAUCGAAUGCUUGUUAUGGGUUUCGGUCCCAAUGUUGAAAAGAUUGUCAAUCAUCCAACGAUGCAUCCGAAAAGAAUCCGUCGUGUUUGUAUGUUUUCGGCUACAUUCCUAGAUGAAGUACAAGCGCUGGCUGCGACGUACAUGGAAGACUACAUAUUCUUCACAACAGGCAUUGUCGGUAGCACCAAUUCGGAUGUUGAACAGGUGUUUUUUUCAGUGCUGGAAAAGAGAUAAGAGAGCUAAGCUGAUCGAAGUUUUACAAGAUCUCGGUGAUGCCAAGACUAUCGUUUUUGUCGACAGCAAAAAGACGCCGGACUUCGUCGCUGCAUUCUCGUGCAAUAACAACUUACAAUCUACCAGCAUCCAUGGUGAGCGUAAACGGAAAUCGUAAAUGUCUCUUCCGAAGCUUCUGUCAGAAGAAUAUGCUAGCAAUCAACUCACGAAUCAUAUGAACAAUAAAAGCCGAUGUCGUGGUGACGAAGAAAACAACACGUCGAGAUGCUGUCAAAAGUGUCUCCGUUCCGGAGAAGGAAGCGCCGGAAGGCAAAAGGCGUCGUGGUGAAACGAAAGCCAAUAAACACGUUGCUGGAUUGGAUGAUGUAGAAAUGUUACACGAAGGCAACGGACACGCUGUCGACAUCCAUGCCAAUCACGUGCCAGAUGAGCCGGAGGCGAACGAUGGAUCGCGAGUCACAUCCGUCAAAAAUGGACGAUCUACUCGCGCAAAGGGCGCACUCAAAGUUCAUUUUGACGUGGCCGAAACGGCGGAUUCGCCAGUCAGAUCCACCCGUUCGACGCGGAAGACGGCUUCACCGGCCGAGAAGAAAGUCUCUGUCCAGCUGGAACGCGACCCCGACAUUGAGACUGUGGCCGCUACUGAAAAAAGAAGAGGAAGAGAAAGCACCGGCCGCCAAACGUUCACGACAAAAGAAGGGCCCGGCAGUAUCUGCCGCAACAAUGGCGGAUGAACCUCCGGCCGUGCCGGCCACGAAACGGACACGUGAUGGCAAGAAACAACUAGCGAACCUGAGCUUGUUAAGGAUGAUACCUCAUCGCCACCACCACCACCUCGACGUACUAGAAACAUCUAACAGCAAGACCCAUCAAUGAAUUACCUAUUUUAUUUCUCUUUUGUUUCACGGUAACUCGUGUCCUUAAAAGUCAGCACGACAGGCACAUUGAGAUAAUGGUUAUUGCUACCUUCUUGCUUUUUAAAAAAGGCAUCAAGCCAACUGUUCAACUAUGCAGUUAGGCUUUUUCCUUUUUUUAAAAUUAGAAUUAAUGAAAUAAUGCAAAGCUUGUCAUUUCAAUCAUUUCAGGAUUGUGGAGACAAACAUUGUGGUUCCAGCGGUUUCCUUA